CUUUAAUAAAAAUAUCUUGCCAUUCCACUGUGUUAAAUGAUUGUGUCUUGUCUUAUCUCUCUUGCUAUAUCAAUCAUGGGAUAACUUUCUUGAGGCAAACAAGCUCCUGUAGACACUCAGGACAAACUAAAGUUCAGGACUCUACCUCAGUGGUAAGCACUACAGCAAAGCUAAAGUAUCCCUGCCUUGAGACACAGAAGCUCCUGUACAAGUUCAGGUCUGUACUUCGUUUGUAAACUCUAAGGCAAAACCAGCUGAAAAACUAAAUGUUAGUCACUCUGGUAAAUUACAAAGAAAUCGAAAGGCGACGAACUUGAACUUCGUACAAAAGUCAUGCCACUCCACUGUGCUAAAAACCUGUGUCUUUUCUUACCUCUUCUGCUCUCUCCAUUAUGGGGAACCUGACUGGAGGUAAACACGCUCCUGUACAAGUUCAGGACUCGGUGAUGAAGACUACAGCAAAAAUAAAAGUUAGUCAUUCUGUUAAUGUAAAUCCAAAGGAUAGUCAUUUAAACUUUUUUUUUUUUAAUGUAAUGUUGUUCCCCUACGCUAAACAGUUUGUUCUUGUUCUCCCUCUUGCUACCUUAAUCAUGGUGAACAUGACUUGAGACACAGACGCUCCUGUAGAAGUUCAGGUCUCUACCUCGGUGGUAAAGACUACCGCAAAACCAGCAGCACAACUAAAGUUUAGUCUCGCUGUUCAAGAACAAGGAAAUCUAAAGGCUAGUCACCUGAACCUUUAAUAAAAAUGUAAUGUCUUGUCUUACCUCUCUUGCUACCUCAAUCACGGUGUCCCUGUCUUGAGGCACAGAAGCUCCUGUACAAGUUCAGGUCUCUAGGUUGGUGGUAACCACUACAACAAAACUAAAUGUUAGUCACUCUGGUAAAAUUACAAAGAAAUUGAAAGGCAAUGAACUUGAACUUUGUACAAAAGUCAUGCCACUCCACUGUGCUAAAAACCUGUGUCUUUUCUUACCUCUUCUGCUCUCUCCAUUAUGGGGAACCUGACUGGAGGUAAACACGCUCCUGUACAAGUUCAGGACUCGGUGAUGUAGACUACGGCAAAAAUAAAGGUUAGUCUUGCUGUUCAAGGAACUCUAAAGGAUAGUCAGUUGAACCUUUAAUAAAAUUGCCAUGUUGUUCCACUCGGCUAAACAGUUUUGUCUUUUCUUAUUUCUCUUGCUACCUUAAUCACAGUGUCCCUGUCUUGAGGUAAACACACUCCUGUACAAGUUCAGGACUAGACCUUUUCUCUAAACACUAGGGCAAAACUAAGGGUAGUCACUUUGGUAAAUUGAAAGAAAAAUCUAAAGGCAAUGCACUUGAAUUUUUCAUGCCAUUCCACUAUGCUAAAAACUUUUCUUAUCUCUUUUGCUAUCUCCAUUAUGGGGAACCUGACUGGAGGAACAGAAGCUCCUGUACAAGUUCAGAACUUGGUGAUGAAGACUACGGCAAAACCACCGGCAAAAAUGAAGAUUAGUCACUCUGUUCAAGGAAAUGUAAAGGAUAGUCACUUGAACCUUUAAUAAAAGUGUCAUGUUG
ensembl:lncRNA